rnacentral:lncRNA from 1 species
AAUUUCUUCACUAAUAACUACAAUUGCUUAACUCCUAACUACAAUAAGAAACCAUAAAAUCAGUGCAACAAUAGUUAGAACCAAUUUUUUUUUCCACUUGAACCAACAAUAAAAUCAGUACAUUCCUAGGUUCUCUAUUGUUUAGGCAAUACACAGAGGUGAAAGAACACUACAAUUUUCAUGUCACGCGAGCUAUUACAAACACAAGACGAAUUGACACAAUUCUUCGACAUUUUGUUGCACUACCUUCAAACAAUAUGCAUAAAGAAGAAAUUAAAUUUAUGGUUCAAACUGUACCAACGAAAUUGAUGGCAACGAGUUAAACAUGGAAGGAGCAAGUUAAAAUUGAUCGAUAGAUUGAUUACCAAUAGAGGAGUAGCAUCAGAUUUACCAAUAGAUUGAUUAGAAUUUUUAUGUGGGAAAAAAAAUGUAGAAAUGUGGUUUGUAUGUAUAUAGUUCGAUUUUAAUUUUGCUAUAAUUCUUUUG